AUGAAGAGACAAGAAACAAUCACCUCCUUUUUUCAAAAGCCAAACAGUGCAAUUCCUGAUGACAGUAAGGCAGGCCCUAGUCAGUCAAGUGAGGAUCUGGCGGAGGGCAGCCACAGUAGAAAAAGACAGCAUGAGGAAGGAGAGACAGUAGGAUUACAGACAGAAGAAGCAGGGACAGAACAACAAGGAGGGACAGGAGGCAACACAGAGGGAGAGGAUGUUGACAUGAUAAUGACAUAUACAAAGCCAAAUCAACCUGACCCUAAAGUUUUGCAAAAACAAGUGAUGAAAGACCGGACACUGACAUUCCAAAAAUCAUGGUAUGAGAAGUAUCCCUGGCUGCACGUUAUUAUGAGUACUGAUGGUGUUUUGUGUUUUCACUGCUCUAAAUACUUUAAGACAGGGAAACCAGCACAAGCCAAGAGUAUAGACCCAGCUUUUGUCAGUACUGGAUUUAAAAACUGGAAAAAAGCACUUGAAAAAUGUUCCAUGCAUGAGAAAUCAGAGGUGCCUAUGAAAACAGGCCAGUUACUACACAGUUGAGCAGUGCAGUCAGUACACAGCAGGCAGAAAACAGAGCUAACCUCUUAAAAAUAAUAGGGGGAGAGAUGUUUCUGGCGAGGCAGGGAUUGGCCUUUAGGGGGCAUGAACAUCAUCAAGGUAACCUUGAGCAACUUUUAAAAUACAAAGCUGAAGAUGAUCAAUCAUUUACUAGGUGGUUAUCUGCAAAGAGAGGGGUGCACACAUCUUGGGAUAGUCAAAAUGAGCGUAUACAUUUGAUGAGUUCAUCAAUUAUCAGGACAAUUGCAGCUGAGAUCCGGUCCCUACCAGUGUUGCAGUAUUCGAUUAUUAUGGAUGGGACAAGGGAUAUCUCUGGUGUUGAGCAGGAGGCGCUGUGCCUACGUUAUAUUGACACUGAUUUGCUGGUGCACGAAGACUUUAUAGGGUUGUAUGAAACAACUUCUACAACAGGUGAAAACCUUGUCAGCAUCAUUUUGGACGUUCUGUUGAGACUAAAUUUGCCAAUAUCUGGCCUCAGAGGUCAGGCAUAUGAUGGGGCUUCAAAUAUGGCUGGAAAGUACUCAGGUGUCCAGGCUGUUAUUCAGCGAGCACAGCCACUAGCACCA
ensembl:lncRNA